UACGCUGCCGACGGCGCUGGUUCGCCCGGCCGUACCCGGUCGGGCGUCGUAAGAGGGAACCCGGUGUGAAUCCGGGACUGCCCCGCAGCGGUGAGUGGGAACGACCGCCGUCACCACGCACUGGACCGCGAGGUCCGGGAAGCGACGGCCAGUAGGAGACCGGACUGAAUCCGGUCGCGCCCGCGAGUCCGAAGACCUGCCCGCGCUGCGUACACGAG
rnacentral:ncRNA from 1 species